UUGAGUAAGGCCAACAACAAUGCUUCAAAGCUAACAUGUCUUAAAUUUUUAGCAAGUUUGUCCAUUAAUGAAAAGGAAAGAUUAAUGUGUCUCUGGACUUUAUAUACAUAAAGGGAUCCCAGAAGUACACGAGUGAAAUCAAAAACAGUCAUCAGGUUACAAAAAAGAAAAGGUAGACACCAUGCUGAGCAGAAUUGGCCCUCGAGAGAAAUACAGCUUUUCUUUCUGGUUCCUUUUCAUGUGGUAACAUCAGGAAGCAGGUUUAGUUCAAGUAUUCUCAAGAAGUCACACAGAACACUAAGUUAGCUUUGGACAAAGUCAGGCUAUUGAUCAGUCCAUUUCAGUUGUGAAAUCCAACACCCAGCAAUAAUGAUGUUCACAUUAAUUUCCAGUAUGAUUUUGAGUUCUAAUAACAAUAUUUGCUCUUAUCAAAUGAUAGUCUAGAGAUUGCUUAGCUGUUCUACCAGAUAAAAUAAACUGCUUGCCUCUGUCUGGUACACCAGGAAAUGAAAAUUGCAUCCAGGCUUCAUAGAGCACCUCUUAAUCUUUUUCCACUGCACUCAUUUCCAUACAUGAGACUUGUGUCUUGCCCUCAAGAGCAUCAGACCCUCUGCCUGCUCUCUUGCCACAGAUAUCCAGAUACCAUGUUGUCCAAGAUAGCGGAGGCCAUGUCAUGGAAAGGAUGUAAUCAGCUGAUGUCCUGAAAAUUUUGUAGUAUUUCUAGUUCCUUCUCCUCUCAGAGACUUUAAGAAUAGCAGCUACUAUUACCCUUCAAAUCAAUUUGUUUUGAAUGGUCUUACACUGCAUUUGUUCUCCAAAUAUCCUUCUAGAAGCAGCCCUGGACAAACCAUGCUUUAUGUGACCAUGAGAUGAUCUCUUUGGACAAUAUGCUUUUAAGUUUUGAAUUUCAACUAAAUACAGAAAAAAUAAACCAACCCUGUACUGACCCUUGAGUACACAGGCAAUUAAGGUUCUAGCAAAGACUAAAAACUUUUUUUUCAUCAUUAUACACAUAGAUUUAAUUUAAGUGGGAGAGUGAGGGAACAAUCAAGCCCUUUACCAGCACUUCUCUCUUUAUGUAUUUAUGGUGAGAUUGCUACUACAAAAGGAGAUAAACUUACAAUGUCUGCAUUGUAUUUUUAAAACACAAAUUCAUUUCAGUGGAACUUGAAAGUCCUUCAGUGCAAGCACCUAGAAAAGAAUUUAUUUGCAAAACAACCUGCACAAGAUUUAAUCUCCCUCUACUUCAAUUACUUGUGUUUCACAUGAAAAACUCAUAAAAUUGUUAUAAUUAAUGUUAGUUCAAACAUUAAUUAAGAAAUGAAGGAAUACUUCUAUUUACACUAGUUUUGUAAUGCAGCGUCUGUCCUAUGAAACAAAUUGCAAACAAUUAAAAAUAGAAAAGUGAGACACUUAUAACUACGGGGCAAGCGUCACCUCUGAAGUAUAAACAGCUUGAGGCUUUUAUUUAGUGCACAAAAUUUCUCUAUUCCAGCUUCCCUCUCUCUAGUGUCAAGGAACCAACAGAAAAUGAUUUCUAAUUAUAAUCCUUGGAAUUCGUGUUGUCAAGCUAUUUAUUACUGUCAUCAUUUCUUAGAUGUUGAAUUAGCAGAAGGAUACCACUAUUCAAGUUUUAUCGUUAUGUCUUUUAAUACUACUGAGUACAUGAAGGUUUUCCUUCAUUUCCAAAAUUAUGAGCCAAUUAGGAUUGCUUUAUGAGUGGAGAAUCAAGUUGUCCACAUAAAUAUUUAAUCUUAGAGAAUCUACUUAUUUCAGACCAAGUUAGAGGUUGCUUCUUCCUAAUAUAUUUAUUUAAUGUGACAAUUAAGCAAUUGUUUUUUUUACAUGAUUAUAUUUUAUUUUCCUUGGAAAUCUUGUAAAAAUUACAGCGUUCUCCCAUAACAAUUCCAGUUUUCCUUUCAUGAAGGAAAGGAAAACUAACUUAACUGCAGUUACAAUACCAACCUUAAAAUAUACCAAUAUAUUGUUGGAGAAUCUGUUCCCAGCCACAGUUAUCAAUUAGAAAUGAAUUACAGAAAUGCAACUACACAAAUCAAGUGAGAAAGUCAUAAAAUAUAAAAUGUUUUACUUCUGAUGAAAGAUUAGGUUAAAAUGGAAUCAAGAUUGAUAUAAAAAGAUAACUUUGCGUGAAAGAAGCUAAGAACUACCCCCAAACUUAGCAUCAUAAUUAACACAAAAUUCAGACAUGGUCACAGAUAGAAAUAGAAUAUAUAUAUAUUUAAUUAAUUAAUUAUAAUUACACCCGUGUACGAGGCACAAAUAUUACAUUCCCAAAUCUUACAGACACACAUGAAGCAUUUUUCCACAUUCUCCUCUCUUACAGUAUAUAUUUGGGGUCCUCUUGGUGUGGAAGGACGCCCCACCCCCAUCUUGGGGUCUUGGGAAGAAUAUAUGAAGAAAAAAUUAUUUUGAUAAUUUUAUAGAUCACAGAAAAUGCUUUUUUUUUUUUAAGGUGAAUUAUAGCUUAAAAAAGAAAAAAGAAAAAAAAAAGUUAAAAAAAAUGAUUUAAAACUUAAAUUAGGAAAAGAAUUGCCACAAAUUGAACAGAGAAUUGGAACUGUAUCAUUAUUACUCCACUGAAAAUGUUGGCCUGAUACCAGGAGCUGAAUUUCAUAAAGGACUUUCUUCUCAAUAAAUCUGAACUAAGAAAUAAUGGCUGUAUUAUAAACAUGGAAGAUAAUCUGCAGCAUUGCUCAUAAUAUAGCAUUCCACCGAAUCAGAGGAUGGCCUGGGUUGGAGGGGACCUGAAAGAUCAUGUAAUUCCAACUCCCCUGCUGUGGGCAGGGUUGCCACCAGAAAGCAGAGCCAAAAACAGAAUCAGUGCGACCGCAGCACAGUGCUCCAGCAGCAGUGGUCAGGAUCAGCCAUCUGAUGAACAAGGUCAGAGAAAGUCCAUCCAAAAUACUUAAGCAAUUAAACGAGGAAAAAAAAGCCAAGAGAUGAUGAUUAUUUCUGCUGACUGCAGUGUAUGAAUUCACGUACUCAGCCCAGUGGGAUCUCUACUGUGAAAAACUUCCUAGAAUUUUAACUGCAGUGAGUUAGAAACCAAAAUAUUGCUCUUUUCUGCUAACCCACAAAACAAUAAUACAGAGGACUUAUUUUUCAGGAGACUGUUUGGAAAUACCACAUUGAAUCAUGUCAGUAGCUAAUUUUAAUAUGAUUAUUGGUAAGGGAAGCUUAUUUUUAAUUUCUGUUGAAGACUCCAAAUCUUAGACUGACUGUAAAGUCACUCACAACCAUCCAGUACUGACCUAAGUACUUCUAAGAAAUUUCCAUCACUUUAAUGACACAGACAAGAAAUGUGUAAAUAAAGAGGCAAAUUUCAAAAAUUUUACUUGCUAUGUGCUCAUGAAGAUGUUAUUGGGACUAUACGUAGGUCACUCUGAAAGUAAUGUCUCCUGUUUAUUUCCAUGGAAACUAAAAAGAAUACAAAGAGAACAACAACAUCAUUUGAUAAGAGUAAAUUCUCUGCUACAAAGUGCUAUUUUUCAACAGUCACCACCAUUAUCCAUGCAUUUCUGCCAGCAAUGAACACAAGCCUGCAUGCUGUGCUCAUAAAAAUCUGGAUGAGUAUCUGGAAUGUGGCUUCUCUUUCAUGUCUCUGUCACCAUUGCUGAAACGCACCAUCCACCUCACACUGUGCUCACAGGCACUGUUCAGUCUCCGUAAAUGUUCACAGGUGUCAAUGAAUGUCAAUGGGUGCCAUUUUUCCUGCCAGGAGGAGUUCAGUUCCACUCCCUUGCAUCAUACACUCGCAAGUCAGAUGCCACUUUGUCAUCUGUUGCCAUCUGUCACACGGCAAGAAAAUGUAACGGAAUACUGUCAGGAAGGUUCAGCCUCCACUGCCAGCCCACCAACAUCUGCCCCUGACAUUGUGGGGCAACAGGAUCGCAUGGGAGGCAUUGCUUUUGGAGUAACUCACAUAUAACAUCCUGUAUUCAAGCACCCAUGUACUACCUGCAGCUAGCAGUCAUCUUUACUAUUGUCUACCCAUUAAAUCAAUAGCUGCAGGAGGUUAUUUGCAUUGCCUGCACUCUCUUGGGGGAACACACAGUUCCUCUUUGCUUUUAAAAUCUUGGCUAAACUGUGCAUGGAGCAUUGAUUAAUCCUUGGGAAGGAACACAAGCCCUCGCAAGUUGCCUGCACAUGGCUGCUGAGAGCUACUGAGCAGCAGAGUGACUUACAGGUCAGCUUUCUCAAUUUGGUUUUGGACUAACCUGCUCCAUCAAAAUAUUUUAAAUCUGUUACAAGUGUUCACAACAGAUUUCUAUAAUCGCAGAAUCACAGAAUUGUAGGGGUUGGAAGGGACCUCUGGAGAUCAAGUUCCAUCCCCCUGCUAAAGCAGGUUCCCUACAGCGGGUUGCAAAGGACAGUGCCCAGGCAGGUCUUGAAUACCUCCAGAGAAGGAGACUCCACAACCUCUCUGGGCAGCCUGUUCCAUUGCUCUGUCACUCUGUCAGUGGAGCAACUCCUCCUCAUGUUAAUAUGAAACUUCCUGUGUUCCAGUUUCUGCCCAUUACCUCUCAUUCUGUCUCUGCACAACACUGAAAAGAGCCUGGCCCCAACCACUUGACUCCCACCCUUUAGAUAUUUAUACAUAGUGAUGAGAUUUCUCUCAGACUCCUCUUCUUCAGGCUGAAGAGUCCCAGGUCUCUGAGUCUUUCCUCAUAUGGGAGAUUCUCCACACCCCUAACUUGUCUUUGUGGCACCCUGCUGGACUCUCUGUAGGAGAUCCCUGUCUUUUUGGAAUCCUUCUCACCUGGUUGAUGGAAAACAGUGGCACUCCCAAAUUGGUGAUACCACACAACUCAUGUAAAAAGGAAAAAUAAAAGUAAUAAAAAAUAAAUGCAAUAAAAGACACACAUCACUGCAUUGGAAAUCUGUACAUGCCAGUUCCCUACAUGAAUUCGGUAGCAGAACUCCAUCUCAAUCAGAAUUGCCAUUCAUUCAAUUUCAGCAAGCAAUGGCUACAACUAUAGUGACUAUGAGAAAUAGAUCUCCCAGUACCUGGCAACAAAUCUGUACAGAGAUUGUCGGUGCACUGCUGAAAAAUUCCACACUCACCCUUUACUCAUUGUUCUGGGCAAACAGCAGAAACUAAUGUCAGAGAAGAACAUUUCUGUGCCUUAAGUAAGAGUGCUCCCUUCUGGUUACAGGUCUGAAGGAAGAUCUAAAGCACAGUAAUUUCUUUUGCUAAGAUGUAAAUUCAGAAAAUUGUGCACUACCAUCUUAAACACUUAAUUUAAAACAGACAGCUAGGAUACACACAGAUGCAAGCAGGGUAUUUCAACAUAUCAGAGCCUCUCACUUCACACUCAAAACAUGUAGAAACAUGUAGGUAAAAACACUAUUCGUACAGGAAGAAAGAAUACCAGAGAAGGGGCAUAAGCACUUCAGCUGAAGAUUCCCAUUAAUACAUUUUCAAAAGCAAUGGCUGCGCCAUAUCUCUGCAAACUUUUUAUUAAUAAGCAGCAUUCAUAUAAACUUCACAAUAAAAUGAAUACUAAAUAUUAUCCAACUCUGGUAAUUGUUUUGAUUUUGUAGAAAAAUAGUUAUUCUUCAACAAGCAAUUGAGCCAAUUAGAGAAUAUGGUGAAUAACAGCAGUGGUUUCUUUGCUCGAGACGCUGGAACUCAGUUUUUCAGCCAACCAUACAGCUCAAAAUGAUUUCCAGCUGUCACACCUGAUAGGCAAAGGAAUGCUUAUUUUGGUUAACAAAGUUUCCGUUUAUGGUUUGGUAAGAUUUUUAUCCAGUCAGCAAACGCAUUUCACAUUUUUCUUUGACAAGCAUGAUUACUAACUGCAAUGUGCACAGCCUGGGGGCAGUUUGACACACUUGAAAAAAUAAGCAAACAUGGGGCAACCAUUGCCAUUCUUAUCUCAUUUACCAUGCAAAACCAUAUAGAAACAAACCAAAACUAAUAAUUUUUAACAUGCUUAGGUAACACUGACUAGGGUUCAUUUUAAUAACAUUUGAGAAGACAGUCCUUACAAAAUACUGCUUUCAAAAGACACAAAAUACGUUUGUUCAUUCUUUUCAGAGUGACUUUUACUCUUUCUUGAGCCAUAAUUACUCUGCAGGCUUCAUUUCUGAAAGUAUCCUCCAUAAUCAAAGGCAAGUUGUUCAUAUGUAAUUACUUUCAUGUAAUAUCACAGACAAACCAUGGUAUGCGGGUCUCACGAUGAAGUGGGAAAGUUUCACCCUACAAGCAUGUUGCUGCCAACAUUCCUCAUGUCCACUCAGAUGACUGCAUGAAAUAAAUUUAACACUGUAACUACAGAUAUGAUAGCUUCUCCCUAUUUUAAGAUAGAUCUGCAAAUAUUUUAUGAUAUUUUUUAAAUACCAUAUUUCAGCCUUUAAAAUGUUAGAUAGCAAAACUUAAAAUGUAUUAACAUUUGCUUUCUCAGCCAUACCUUCCAAGCUUAGAAAGACAGUGGUACGUUAUUAAUCCCGACCAAUCAGUAGAAGCAGAUAGGAAGGCAAAUUGCACGUUACGUGACAUGUGCUUCAGACACACGAUCCUCUUCCUUUUCAAAGGCAAACACUGACCUCUAUGGGUCAGUAUUGCACAUGUAAUGGUGCAAAAUAGAUUGUUGCCUUCGUGUUCAAACCACUUCAAACCUCAGCCCAGACCAGCUCAGGUUGGAAGAGACUUCAAUAGAUCAGGAGACCCAGCCUCACACACUGCGGGUGGCACCGAGCAUGGAUGGGACCCAAAAAAUUUCUCCGCUGCGCAUCAACAUCUGAGAUGGCAGGGACACAAUGGCGAUGCAGCCCUUGCUGUAGGGCAACAAGGAAGACACACCUUGAGGAACCAGGAAAGAAGAGUGCUGCAGGAUGGCCACCUGAGAUGAGGACGACCCUGCUCCAGGGUGCUACCUGUGCGUACGUGGCUCUGCCUGACAAAGGGACUGCACUGGGUGACCAACAUGCAAAAUAGAACACAAAUGCAAAAAUAUGAACUGAUAGCUGGCCAGUAAGAAGAUGGAAGUCUCACUCCAGUGAUUUGAGAGCUAUCCCCAGAGAACCUGCCUUGCUCUGUUGCAGAGGGCCGUUCUGAAAGUUUUUGUGAAGAACCUGAAUGCAGGAUAAAAUUUUCAGGCUUGCUGUGCUUGGAGCUGCAAAAGGAUAACAUUGCAGCUUUGUGAUGAACCAGACACAAGAAACUCACUGCUCUUCUUCCUGCUCCUCAUUUUAAUUUUCAUCAAGUUAAUGACAAGGAUGCAAACAAGCAGAGUUUUCCUAAUUGGUUUAGUAUUGGUUUCCAUGCCAAGACUUAAUCCACCCUUUUGCAACAAAGGUCUAUUGAAUGAUAGACAUGAUAAACAAGAAUAAUUUUGUAAAUCUUCCUGCAAGUACUCAUAAUUAAGUACAAAACUAUCACAAAAUAACGCUAGUAAUCAAUUUAAUAGGUUUCUUUGUGAAAUCAUGGCACAUGCUGUACUUGUUGCUAGCAGAGAAAACACAGUUUUACAUUAAAAACCUUAAGAGCACCUUCUAGCCUAAUGCUGUAGAAGUGAUAUCUCAUCAAAAAAUAAAAAGAAAAAGAAAACUUGAAAAAAAAUGUUAAGAAAAUUAUCAGUUGUAGAUUAAACCACUUCAAAAUGGCCUUUUUAGGCUUCCUUAUGCUUUUUGUCUAUGCUAAUUUAAAAGGCUCUCUCCAUAUGGCACACAAGGAACAUACAUAUUUGUGAUUUGUAGAAAGGAAAAUCUAAAGGAGGUGAUGGAGUUAUGGCUGAGGUCGUCAUAUCCAGGCUUUUUCCUAAAAUAAUGCUGUCUCACAGACAGAAAUGAAUGCUAACAGUUUCUUGUUGUAAAAAAACAGAUGAAAUUGAUAAAAGCACAUGUUCAAAGAUUUAAAAAUAAUUACACUGAUUAUCAUACUCAAAUUAGGUAAUACUCAAACAUAAUGCAACUCUGUAUUGAAAGAGAAGACCUAGAAGUUGAUGAAUUUACAGUUAGAAAUCCCCUGCUUGCCCUCUUUCCCAUAAAUAAGUCCUCCUCCAUUUGCGCCUUGGAAAAGCCCCACCAACUACUUCUUCAUUAAAAUGAAUUCUGCCUACCUGCUGCUGGCUGAAAACAGUAAUAUUAUACAUAAGUGUGAACUACUCUUUAAGUAAUCAUCUUGCUUUUGCCCUUUGGAACACUGCUAGUGAACUUUCCAAUUUAAUGGGAUCUUCCAUUAAAAAUUAACAACUAUCUCAUAAAAAGACAUUUAAAUAUCAUGCAAGGAAGCGAAAAAUUGAAGUACUUGAAAUCUCUGAAAGCUAAAGUGUAUCCGGUAGGAAACAGCCUGGGGCUUUUAGCAAAUAGAAACCUAAUCAAGCAAGAAAGAAAAAUAAAUGAAGAGAGAAAGAACAAAUGUGUACAAAUGCGAAUCUGUGAGCUUUGAGUCUGCUAAGAUAAAUAAGGCAAACGUGCUGAAAAGUAGUACAGAUUUUUUGGGCCUCUUGGUCUCCAAGUUUCUACACCUGUAGGCCUCCCUUUGGCCGUUAAAGCCCCAAUGUCUUUUAUUCAGCCACCUGGCCUCCCUCUUGGUCUCUUGGCCCUUAAGUUUCUACACCUCAAGGUCAGAUUCUAUUCUUUUAGUCCUCUGGGCUUCUAGGUCUUUCUCCAGGCCACAGAGCAUCUAGGCACCCUAAAUGCCCAAAAUACAGCCAUGACCUCAACUUCCUGCAUUUAAAUUUGAAGAUGUAAGGAAAAUCUACAGUAAUGCUUUGCUUCAUCUUUUCAUGCAGAAAUCUAGGUGGAAAAUUUUUGCAGAUCCCCAACACAUUUCUUUUGUUAUUUUUAAGGAUGAACCAAUCAGAGUCUAUUGACACAGUGAAAACUAAUUUUUGUUAUCCUUCUCUACAGUCUGAUUACUAAGAAAACAGCAACACUGUUUUUCGAGUUUGCUCCUGUUCCUUAAACAGUUAUACUGUUUCUACUUCAUUAACUAACAACAGAGCAGCUGAGGCUGGAGUCUGCAGAUCAGCCAGCCCAGCCUGCUCUCAAGCAGAUGCCAGGGUCCCUGCUGGGAUUUGAAUAUCUUCAGGGGUGAGGGCUCCAUAUUCUCACCAGGCAACCUAUCCCCGUUCAACCACCCCCCAUAUAUAUGUAAAUAUGAAUAUAUAUAUGCAUAUAUACAUUCAAAGGCAAUUUCCUGCGUUUCAGCUACCACCCAUUACCUCUUUUCCUUUCACUGGACACCGUGGAUAGGUCUGGCUCCACCUUUCCACCCUUUCAUCACGUAUUUGUAACACUGAUAAAGUCUCUCUGAGCCUCCUCUUCUGCAGGCUGAGCCCACACACCCCCUCCUCUUCUCACACAACUGAUGCUACAGUUCCUUUCUGUCCAUUUACUGGCUUCACUCCAACAAGCCUGCAUCCCUCCUGUAAUGGGGAAUCUGGACACAGCACCCACACAUGCCUCACUAGUGACACUGACAGUGGCCUUGCAGUGACAUCAGCCAGCUUCUGCAGCAUUUGAGGGUGCAUGCUAUCAGGUCUCAUGGGCUUAUAUCCAGUUCUUGUUCCCUAGUUUGGUCCUCCUUCACUGCAAGGAGGACUCAUCCAUGAAUCAGAAUUUCUGGGCUUGAGGACUGUGAUUCUGGCCUGCCUUGCAACCCUAAAGCUGCACAGAGCACAAAGUUAGCAGCCCCAGAUAACGUGCUUUAUGUGGAGAGACAGCUCAAAGGCAAGGACUGCAGAGCACAGGAACACUUGUGCAUGGUGCUCUAAUCCUCAUUCUUUCAAAGGUAGUUCACAGGGUUUCUUUGAACUUAAAAGGAAUUAUUACAGUAAGAUUUCAAAUAGAGUAACAUAUGAAUAUACUUACCACUGACUGAGUAGAGCUUGGUAGGCAAUCACCUGCUAAGGUGUCUGGGUGCUACAGUUCUGCACUACUGCACAGAGAAAACAAGACAUGAGUUGAAGGGAAGAAGAAGGACUCAGUUAAGAUACCACAACAUACACACCAUGGCACUGCUGGGGCCAUCACUUGUCUUUAUUUCCACAGGACAAUGCUCCUUAAACUUGUCUGAGCAACGUGGUGGGUGACUGCUGGACUUUUCUGGCUGCAGGACAUCCAAAUGCAUGUGAGCCACUUUAGCAGAGGUUUAAUUACAAGUUUUCCAUUGAAAACUGCUGCAAAUUUAACUGUUUCUUACUGUCACAUAGACAUUAUAUUCAUAAUUCUUCACAGAGUAAAAUUCUGCUUCCUUCCUUUUACAUUCUGAAAGUAUGUUUUUUUUUUACAUUCACAAGAAGAUAGGUGUAAUUUCAAUAUUGGCACAAUCCUUUUUAUAAACAGGAGUCCUAUCACAACUCAAAUGUUUAAAAGGCAAAUAGAGAUAUAGAAUAGCAGCUUUCCUAUAUACAGAAAUGGUUCUCACACUGUGUUUUACAAUUCAUUUAUAUAUCUUGAUAAUUUUAAUACACCUUACUCUGUAAUUCCAAGGUGCCCAUUUGUAUCUCUGCUUAGGCCCAGUUGUUCUUCUCCCUUCUCAAUUAUAUCUGCGCACUAAAUCCUUUAAAUCUCUAUCUAGCCUGCGACUUCAUUGGCUCAAACUAAUGAACAGAAUUUUUUAAUUCCCUUAUGAUAAUCCUAUUACUCGUCUGAAGCUAUUUCUGCAAGGGUCAUCAUUAUACAGAGACGUAAAUCUGAGACCAGGUCUAUCCAUGUUCAGUUGUAAUCCAGCUCCCCUCCUGGAAACCAUCAAGGGCAUUUGUCAGCGCUUGAAAAAAGAAGAGUUGAGUGACUGAACCUCUCAGGUAGAGUGAUCUGUAUGCUGAUUGCCUUUCAAGCUUUAUUUUAGUAAAGGAAUAAAAGAUGGUUUUUAAAAGUUUGCCACAGCUGCAAAAAGAUUAUUAGUAGUGUAUUAAACAUUCUAGUAGAUAAACUUCACCGAUGCAGUCUGUCAGAAGAACUUCACCUUUGGCAUCAGACUGAAAUGUAACCGUUCAUGCCUUAAAUAAAUGCAGUAAAACCUCUAGUAAAAGGUGAAUCACUCCAGAUGGGAGUAAUUUUGGUGAAGAGGAAGUAUGUUGUAAAUCUGACUCCUGAGUUGCUGCCUGUGCCCAGACUAUCGGAACAGACAUCUAUGUCUAAUUUAAGGCAGCUUUUAUAUUCCUUCCAUGGAAUUGUACCUCCGUUAUUUGAUUUUGUCAUUGAUUUCGUUGAAACUGAAGUGCUUUUUGUAACUUUCCUUGAGAUACUAAUCCAUACAAAAGAAUGUGCAAUAGAAAUAUAAGCAUUUCUACUGCCUUUUUUGGAUUGCAUUCUGCACACUGUGAAUGUGUGAAAGAUGAGUUCAAUUGCUGGGGAUAAUUCACACAAUAUUUUUAUGUCAGAGAGACUGAAUUCCUUAUUUUCAUAGCCUCCAAGAAACUCUAAAUUCCAACUUUAGAAUAAGUCAUUCUUACUCAAGUACCUAAUUUCAGGCUUGGAACUGUCUUGUUGCAAAGGAGUGUUUUGUUAAAUAUUGAUAUUGGUGUAAAAAUAAUAAAUGAAACAUAGUGGAUUAGAAUGUAGCUGGUACAACAUCAUUAAUUUAAGGCAGGUUGCAACUAUGUAACUAAAAUUAUAAGUAACGUAUUAUAUGAAAUCAUGCCCCUUUUGAAGCUGCUGAACAUACUCUCUUCAAGGCCACUGCCACUGACCUCAACAGAAAGCACAUUAAGUUCACAGCUUAAAGGAGAUGCAGAGAAGGUUUUACUUAGAAAUCAGUGUUUUGCUGUUUUUAAAGGCAUAUCUUUGUUGUUUGUACUCAAAACUUGAAUUUGGUAGUGAACAGGCACAAACAUUUUUCAUGUGUGUCAAUCCUUAGAAAAUAGCUAUGGCAUAAGCAAACAUAGAAAAGUUAGUACAUAUAGCAGUUUGGUAUGCCUUCGUUUUUUGAUACUCCAAGCUGAGUUCACCAAAAGAUAAGCAGUCGUGAAUUGUAUGGUUCUAAGUGGUUUGUUUCCAGUCAGCUUACAGAAGUAACAUGCUAUGACCUUCACAAGCAAUGGCUUUUAAAGCUUUGUGCAAGUAUUUGAACAUUUUUUAAUGGGAAGGAACAGUUUAAACUGCCAUUCUUCUGCAGCUGCUAUCACAUAGAUCAUUAGACAUGAAUACUUCAUCCUAUUUCAAAAUGGGAUUUUAACCUGAUCUCUGUUAUAAAUAUUAGUGCCUAAUCCUAUGAAUUCCAAUUACAGAACAGUUCAAAUCAUGGGAAGAUGAAUAAGGGAAUGAGAAAUCAUAAUAAAAAUAAUAAAACUUGAGAACAAGUUACACAGCCAAAGAUGAUUGGUCUAUAUGCAACAACUGGAUUCCGGUAAAAAAGGAAACUCAUUACUGGCACCAACAUAUCUUGACACCACCACAAGACUUAGUGCUAUCAAAAAAUAUUUAUUCCUAAUUUACGGAGGCUAAGAAGCCAACAGGUACCUCACAUCUUCAAAAUUCUUAUGAUGCCAACUGUUCUUAUACUUAUCUCAUCUGUAUUUCUUUCUCCCACGCAAAUUACAAAGUUAAAGGACAUUCCUGACCCUAAAGGACAUUCCUGACCCCUUCCAUCCUUUUUUUUUUUUUUUUUUUU